UACGUAGGGUGCGAGCGUUAAUCGGAAUUACUGGGCGUAAAGCGUGCGCAGGCGGUUGUGCAAGACAGAGGUGAAAUCCCCGGGCUUAACCUGGGAAUGGCCUUUGUGACUGCACGGCUAGAGUGUGUCAGAGGGGGGUAGAAUUCCACGUGUAGCAGUGAAAUGCGUAGAGAUGUGGAGGAAUACCGAUGGCGAAGGCAGCCCCUGGGACUA
rnacentral:rRNA from 1 species